rnacentral:rRNA from 1 species
UACGUAGGGUGCAAGCGUUGUCCGGAAUUAUUGGGCGUAAAGAGCUCGUAGGCGGUCUGUCGCGUCUGCUGUGAAAACCUAGGGCUUAACUCUGGGCGUGCAGUGGGUACGGGCAGGCUAGAGUGCGGUAGGGGAGACUGGAAUUCCUAGGUGUAGCGGUGAAAUGCGCAGAUAUCAGGAGGAACACCGGUGGCGAAGGCGGGUCUCUGGGCCGUAACUGACGCUGAGGAGCGAAAGCAUGGGGAGCGAACAGG